rnacentral:misc_RNA from 1 species
UCCGAGUUGACCCCGGCAGUCUCCUAUGAGUCCCCGCCAUCACGCGCUGGCAACAUAGAACGAGGGUUGCGCUCGUUGCGGGACUUAACCCAACAUCUCACGACACGAGCUGACGACAACCAUGCACCACCUGUGAACCGGCCGCAAGCGGGGCACCCAUCUCUGGGUGUUUCCGGUAUAUGUCAAGCCUUGGUAAGGUUCUUCGCGUUGCAUCGAAUUAAUCACAUGCUCCGCCGCUUGUGCGGGCCCCCGUCGAUUCCUUUGAGUUUUAGCCUUGCGGCCGUACUCCCCAGGCGGGGAACUUAAUGCGUUAGCUGCGGCACGGAUCUCGUGGAAUGAGACCCACACCUAGUUCCCAACGUUUACGGCGUGGACUAC